UACGUAGGGGGCGAGCGUUGUCCGGAUUUAUUGGGCGUAAAGAGCGUGUAGGCGGCUUGGUAGGUCCGCUGUGAAAACUCGAGGCUCAACCUCGAGAUGUCGGCGGAAACCACUUGGCUAGAGUCCGGAAGAGGAGAGUGGAAUUCCUGGUGUAGCGGUGAAAUGCGCAGAUAUCAGGAAGAACACCUAUGGCGAAGGCAGCUCUCUGGGACGGUACUGACGCUGAGACGCGAAAGCGUGGGGAGCGAACAGG
rnacentral:rRNA from 1 species